GCCGUUCUGGGCACUUCGUACAAAGGUCCCGACUGGGAUCUUUGUACGAGGCGCCCGACAGUUGGCGGAGGGGGGGGGUCCAAGCAACAAAAUUGUAACGAGCGCUAACACACCGUAACAACUCCCUGACGCUACUCAACGCUAACGUUUUGAAUCAGCAGCCAGACGAGUGUUUCUUCCCACCUGCCGUGUGCCAAACCACUAACCUCGGCCCUCACUGGCGACAACCUCACAGGGCGACGUUGGCUACGGCGCCGUAAUGAGAGUUCUUCUUCCCUCCUUUAUGUUCUGUCUCUGCCGGUGUACCAACACGUCUCCUUUUCAGAUCGUCCUCGUUAACAGGCCCCCUUUCAGGACCUCCGCCUGCUCCUUCCUGCACUCAUCUCCCAAUCAGACACACAGAUAGAGAGCGAGAGAGAGAGUGGGAGAGAGACGAAGGCCAAGGCACACUCUGACGGUCACCACAAUCACAGUCUUAUGUAACAUAAGAGUCACACAACUCCCACGCCGUCCACCUCCGCCACCAUACCUCAGUCUCGGACUCUGUAUAUCCUUCUCUAUCUUCUUACUCCUCUCUCUCUCUCGCUCUCUCUCACUCUUUUCAUGUCUUGUCAGUCAGUUUUUUCUCUUUUCCCUCUUUCUUUGCUCUGAUCUCUCUCUCUCUCUCUCUCUCUCUCUCUCUCUCUCUCUCUCUCUCUCUCUCUCUCUCUCCCCACAAUGUCCCGUGUGUGGCUAGUGUAUCUGUGUGUGUUCCCAUGAGUAUGCGAAUGCACAUGUGUUUGUGUCCAUGUGUGUGUGGGCCAUCACACCCUCACCUUUUAACCUGCGUCUGCCCACAUUUCCAUGCUCCACAACACACACCACACACACGCACACACCCCAUCAGUUUGGAUGGAGCCCUGCCUGGCUCUGUGACAGCUGCAGCCGUCUCCUUAGCCGGUGGGCGGGGCCUAGGCUGACACCUUGUAAGCCGAGCCAACCUGGUUCACUGAUUCCCCCUGACGGCGCCUAGUGUGGUGCGGCUGCCGUACGCUAACCUUGUUAGCGAACGAGGGCUAAAGGAGCUAACUCAAGCGUGUGGUGGGCUGAAAACAGAGAGGCAACCUCCGUAUGUUCCUGUUGUUACUGUUGUUAUUCGCCCAGAACCCUGGAAUAGUUCCAUACGUUGAGCUUGUCAUGCUAAUUUUUAUCCAUGAGUGCAUGCUCACUAGUGUGCAGAAAGAGAUUCAAUAUCAUAUAAUAUUCAACUCCUGGCUAGAACACCAGACAUUCCCAUCAGAUUGUGUUAACCUAGCAUAUCAACAUUUAGAGGAUAUUUCCUGAACGGUUUGUGUGAGAGGUCAGUAUCAUGCGGCGGUUAAAUUAUAUCUUUUGAGGUUCAAAAGGUAUAAUUUGAGAUUAAUUUAGAAUGCCACAGCCACCGGUCAGCUAUGAUUGAGUGAAAUGCUCUAUGAGAAUAUCUGUCCUGGUUGACUGCACUUGCUUUAUGAGAGGGCAUCUCUUCCCUGAUUGGUUAGGGGGAUCAGUCUUGCCUGUCAAUCACAGGGACUUUCAUGUGGGUUGCGUAAUUGCAAAGUCUUGCUCUUUUGGGCUCUUUUCUGCUCUGUUCCCCUUCCAACUUUUGAAUCUUUCCGACAGCACCUUUAAGGUACUGUGUGUGUGGCUGACUCAUAGUAGAUCCAAAUUGGACAGGGGGGAGAAAACACAUCGCUCCGCAGAGAGAUGGAGGCAGUGGGGUAGGGGGUAAGUGAUUCUGUUGUGGUGGACCACAGAGCAUUGAUAGUUGCAGCUUGGCAGCGCUUCGUAAACCGGGCCUCAUUUACCAUGUUGCGUGUCGAAAGCGAUGCCCGGCCGUGACUACACAGACAGGAUGUUAGCAAUGUGUUGGCUAAGUCUGAGAGGACAUCCAUCAGUCCCCCCGCCCCCCUCUCCUCUACAAACCAUCUUGCAGUCCAUUCUCUGCUCUGACUUUUUGGGUUGCGUGUUUAACUUGAGGCUGUGUCUGUGUGUCUGUUUGCUUCGUCAAAACUUUUGGUCGAUCCUCUCUAACUUUUUUGUCAAUUCACUCUUUGUUGUUUGAUCGUUUUUAUUGUUUAGGCUUGACCAUCAAAUGGGACAGAUGUCAUAAAUAGAUUAUGUAUAGUUAAUGUAUGGUAUGGAAAUGACUGUCGACCAAAAUUCAGGACUUUGAGUUAUAUUUUGUAUUUAAUUUGUAUUUUAUUGAUAUUGAAAGGCU
ensembl:lncRNA